GAAAUGCGAUAAGUAAUGUGAAUUGCAGAAUUCAGUGAAUCAUCGAAUCUUUGAACGCACAUUGCGCCCGCCAGUAUUCUGGCGGGCAUGCCUAUUCGAGCGUCAUUUCAACCAUCAAGCCCCCGGCUUGUGUUGGGGACCUGCGGCUGCCCGCAGGCCCUGAAAAACAGUGGCGGGCUCGCUGUCACACCGAGCGUAGUAGCAUACAUUCUCGCUCAGGGCGUGCUGCGGGUUCCGGCCGUUAAACGACCUUCAUAACCCAAGGUUGACCUCGGAUCAGGUAGGAAGACCCGCUGAACUUAAGC
rnacentral:misc_RNA from 1 species